UAAUCCUCCUUCUGCUUCCCCCUUUCACAGGAGAGGUGACCUAAGGGUGGGGCGAUUCUGAGGGGAGUGGCAGGCCUCCCCAGCGUGGAAGUCGGGAGGCUGUGUGUGCGGCCCUGCACCCCAGCAGGUUGGCCCAGGCGCCAGCUGGCUGCCUUAGGAGUUCCUUCUGAUGGCCUUUAGCCCUUCGAGGCUUUUCGGAGGCUGAGAAACGCGCGGUAAAGGUAUGGAAAGGUGUUUUUGUCAUUCUUCAGUGAAAAUCUGCCCUAACCAGAAAGGGAGUUUCUGCCUAGGCAGGAAACCAUUGAAAAAGCUCGUUUGUGUUAGUUGUGGUUAUUGUUUCCCCUGGAAACUGUGGCCGUGGUUACUGUGGUACUGUGUGACAAUCUGAGUGUUUAGACUAGAUUUCCUGUUUUCCACACACAUUUAUAAGUGGGUUCAGAAAUGUGCCUGUGAUGAACAUCACACAUACCUACUACAAAACUUGGAUGGUCAGCUUGGUGUGGUUUUGUGCACCUCUAAGCCCAGUGGCUCAGAAGGCUGAGGCAGGAAGAUUGCAAGUUUAAAGUCAGCCUCAGCAACUUAGGGAGACCCUGAGCACCUAAGUGAGUCCCUUUCUUAAAAUGUAAAGAGGGCUAGGGAUGUGGUGCUGUGUUUAAAUGCCCUGGGUUCAGUCCCCUGUACCCAAAACAAAAACAAACAAACAAAACACAACGGGUUUGACCUCCAGUCCUUUUUUCUCUUUGGUGCUGAUCCUUUUUCUUAUUUCUGCAUUUUUCCAAAGGAGAAACUAUAUGAUCUAACUUUUUGUGAUGGUGAGAGGAGGAUUGGUCUGGAGCGUUGAAGCUCUUGGUCAAGGUGUGGCUCUGGGUUUCCUUUUACCAGCUCUAGUUCACCUUACAUGCCUGGCACAAGUUCUUGUACAUAAUAGACACUCAGCAAACAUUAACUCUCUUUUCAUUUCUCAUUAGCACAGGUAAUUAAGAAUAGGAGCUGAUAGACUCCACAUAUCUGUGCAGAGAUAUAUCUGUAAUUAAAGUUUUAAUUAAAGAGACACCAGACCAGGCAGAUGGUUCUUAUCCUCAUAUCCUGUAAACCAAACAGCCGUGGCUUUUCGAUCUUGCAAACAAGCAAAGCUGAGAAGCUGCUUUCAUGGUGGGGCAUGGUAGUUUUAUUAACUAGCCAUGAUCUAUUUUGGUACUACUCUGUGUGAUGCCUGAUCCAGGGAUAAUCAUUGUAGUUUGAUAUGGAAAGACAAUACAUCAAAGUUAUGUCCCAACUGAAGCUUUCAAGCGUCAUCAAGGGCAUUGCCACAGCCCAGCUGGUGCAUCACAAGGCAUGUGGUUUUGUGCUAGAUCACAAAAGCUGACAAAGUAUUAUUUAGGAUCAUCCGCUAAAUACAGUAUUAAAUUAAAGCACCAUAAUCCUGAUUUUUCAGGUUUUGCCACUGUAUAGCAAUGCAGAAUUGAGUUGUGCCUGUUUGCCUCAUGCUGGUUCUCUUCUAUGUCACAGUGACCUUAUUGGCUAAUCAGGCGCAGAAUUUAAGAAAUAAAACAACUGCAGGGGCUAACUAACAGAAAAGGACUUAUCUCAGAUCUUAUCACUUUUUAGGCCCUUCCAGUGAACCCCAGCCAUUUAUUCUAUUGCAUCCCUGUUGGCAGGAGCCAGAGCAGUGCAGGGAAGUGGGCAGCUCACCUUGACCUCUUGGAUUUUACCCUCUUCUUUACCCGAAGUUUCAUAACCUUUCCUUGUAAUUUUUAAUGCAGCUAGCUGCAUGGUUUUCAGGCCUUCCAUGCAAGAGGCAGUUCUAUAACAGAAUUGCAUGCUGGUUGAUGUAGGUGUGUUUCUACCACCAGCAUCCCAGUUUAUUUUGUUAGGUAGAACCAGUACUGAAGAUGUUGAUUUCUUAUUGCACAAUGGAACAGUUUAGUGUAGAGAUUAGGAGCAUGGUUUCUGCUUUGCUGAACAGUGCUGCUUUCAUAGGAGGUGCAGUUUUUGUGUGAUAGAGUCCACAGUACACUGGGAAGUACACUGGAACUUUCACAUCACAGACCAGUCAUCAAGUGAUAGAACCUAGAAGUGUUUUAACUUACCUUAAUACCAUCUAUAAAUCAAGGUCCAUCUGUCCUAGCUGAAAUGUGUGUGCAUAGGCACAAGGAGAUGGGCCAGAACCAUGAGAUGUGCAUGUGCUUUGAGUGGAGCCUGUGUCUCAUGGGUAGCUGGAAAUGUGUCUACCACCUUCUGUCUCAGGGAAGGAUGUUUUUUGGUUUUAAAAGAGGUCAGUUCAUUGUAAGCUGCUUUGAUUAAAUAGUCUUUUGUUAUUGUAUCCAGAAAAUACCAUAGGAUCUAUGCAGAAAUGUAUUACUGAGUAUUAAGUUGGUAUUUUACAUAUGGAAUUUGAACCUGACCAAUUACAAAGUUUGUUUCUUUUCUAAUGUGGUUCAAGACCUGAACAUGUAACUUUGGAGUAGACAACACAAUUUUAGAUUGUAGGAGGUUUCCUAUGAAGUUAAACUCUUGCUGCAUAGAGAGCAGUAGUUAUGCCGCUUUGCUGUGUAGGAAUCAGACUUCCACAAAGAGGAGAAGCACCAACAAACCCACCUUACUUUUCUUUCUGUAGUGGGUUUAGAAAAAAUGUGCACCCCCACCCCAUGCUGGGGAUUGAACCCAGGCCUUUACCAUGUUGGGCAAAUACUGUGCUACAGAGCUACAUCCAUAGCCCUGGAAAAUCUGUAUUUUACCACAUAAUCGUCACCACUGCAUUAAUGCAGAUUCACUAAUACUCCAUGCAUAUCCUAAUCUUGAACCAGUGACAGUUUAGUAAUAAACGCAUUUUAAGUAAUACUGGCACAGUAUUUUUUUUUCUCUUUUAAAGCUUUAAAUAAUGGUCACGCUCAACUUUUUGCCAAAAAAGAAAAAGAAAUAAAAGGCAUAAAAUCUGCAAUGAUUAUGUGAUGAAAUGCAUAUAUUUUUGCCCUUUCUAGUUGUGUGAUGAUGGGAGUAGAGUGUUCUGCCCACUCCAGAGUGACUUACCACCAAAUAUUUCUUUCUUUCUUUUUUUUUUUUUAAUGGCGGUACUGGGGAUUGAACUCAGGGCCUCACACAGCUAGGCAAGUGCUCUGCCACUGAGAUAUGUCCCAAGCCCUUUUUCAUUUUUUUAAAAAUUUUUAAUUUUAAAUGUUGUUUUAUUAAUACAUUCGAGUUAUUCAUAAUAGUGGGGUUCAUUUUGACGUAUUCACACAUGCAUAUAACAUAAUUUGCUCCAUUUCAAUCCCUAGUAUUUUCCCCUAACCCUCGUCUCCUCCUUCCCCUUGAUUUCCUUCCUCUACUCUGUUGGUCUUUCUUCCAUUAAUUUAUUGUUUUUUUUUAAUUGGUGCAUUAUAGAUAUACAUAAAAGUAGAGUGGAAUUUUUGUGAUGUAUUUAUAAUGCACAUAACAUAUUUGAUCUUUUUUUUUUUUGCUGUUCCUCUCCUUUCCCAUCCCUACUUUUGCCCCUUUAUUCCCCUUUCUUUACUGUUCUGUUUUUAUAUCGCCCACUUCCCCACCCCCCUCUUGUUUUUAAAUUUCUCAUUUCUCCCUAAUUUCUGCAUAUGAGAAAACAUUGAAUCUUGAUUUUUUGAGUCUGUCUUAUUUCACGUAGCAUAAUGUUCUCCAGUUCCAUCCAUUUGUAAGUAAAUGACAUAAUUUCGUUCUUCUUUAUGGCUGAGUAACAUUCCAUUGCGCAUAUACACUACAUUUAAAAUUGUUGAUGGACCUUUAUUUUAUCUAUUUAUUUAUAUAUGGUGCUCAGAAUUGAACCCAGUCCCUCACACAUGCUAGGCAAGUGGUCUACCACUGAGCCACAACCCCAGACCCCUAUACGUCACAUUUUCUUGAUCCAUUUAUCUGUUGUUAGGCACCUGGACUGGGUUCAUUACUUGCUUAAUUUGGAUCAUGGUGCUAAAGACAACACCCAGCCCUUUAAAAAAUUUUUUUUUUAAAAACAGUUUCAAUGAGUUGCCUAUGCUGGCCUCUUAACUGGCCAUCAUCCUGUCUCGGAUUACAGGCAUGUCCAGCCACACCCAGCUUAUUUAUUUGUUCUUUAAAUAGUUAUUGAAUUCCUGGUAAAGGGCAGCAGUAAGCAAAAUUAUGCCAUUCCCCUCGAAAAGUUUAUUUUCUGGUUAGGGGAAAGGGCAAUAAACAAAAAAAGAGUAACAGUAAUUGAGAAUUUGUAUGAACCAGUCAUGUUGGUUAACUCUGUGUCCUCCUCAGAGCACUCUGUGCAGGUGAGUGCUGUUCUGCCCCUUUUGCAGCCUAGGGAGACACUACAGAGAUGUGGACUGGCCUCUGCCCCACCCAGUGGGCUCUGUGCUUUCACAUUCCAGGCUGCUUGACUCUCUAUUAAUAAACACUGCCUGAUCUGCUAAUUUCUAAAUAAUAAACACAUAUUAUUGUUAAUGAAUGUGAUGAAGAGCACACUCAUUAUCAAUAAUAUGUGUUUAUUGAUAAUAAUAAUAAUAAUAUCAAUAAAAGCCGCAAGGGAAGCCAUUUGGAGGGCUCCUGGAUGCCUGGGUGUAAGUGUUCGUUAGCAUCAUGACUUAAGUGGAUUCCCUCAUAAUGGGGGGUGAAGGAAGGUCACAUCAUGAGCCACAUAGCUAUCCAUCCAGAGGGAGGGUAUUCCAAGUCAAGGGAACAGAAAAAGCAAAGGCCCCAAGGUUGAUGUAGCUUUGUCAAAGGUGGAAGAGAAGCCAGGAAGCCAGGUGGGAACUGUCCCUGUCUCUAGGAGGGUGGGGAGGGGAGCAGCCAGGAGCAGCAUCCCUGGGGGCCUUGCAGGUCAGGGUAAGGCCUUUGAUUUUACUGAAGAGAGGGGAAAUGGUCCAAGAAUUUUUGAGCAGAAAAAAACAUGAUAAAAAGGAUCCCUCUGAAUGUAGGGCAGAGUCUAGGGCACGGUCCACAGACAACUGCCCGCUGGCCAGAUUGCUGCCCGCUUCGGUGUAGCCAGCAAGCUAAGAGUGCUGUGUACAUUUGUGAAUGGUUGGGAAAAAAUGAAUAAUAAUAUUUGGUGUCCCAGGAAAAGUAUGUGAAACUCAAAUUUUUGUGUCCAUUUUCAUUUUAGUGUUAUUGGAAUUGAGCCGCCCUUGUUACUUUGUGUAUGUCCAAAGCUGCCUUUGAGCAGCCUUAGCUGAACUGAGUCCUUUUAACAGACCACAUGGCCUGCCUCUGGCCCUUUUCAGAAAAAGUUACUGUUCCCUGUCUUGGGGGGAUGGAGUGGAAACAGAGGAGACCAGAGUAGACAUGGCAGAAGUGAAUGGUGGUCUGAACAGGCAGUAAGAAGUGAACAGAUGCAGGACCUGUUUCACAGCAAAAGCAGAUGUACUUUGUUCACAUGGGAAGAUUCCGGGUGAUGUGUGAGUGCGGCACUGAGUUACUGGAGAGUGCACUUGCCCUUUUGGGGGUUGGGAAGACUGUGGGAGUGACAGGUUGGGGAGGAGGGUGAGCAAGAGGCCAGAGUUGUAUUUUGGAUAUGUUGGCUUUAUGGUGCCAAGUGGAGGUGUUGGGUGUCAGUCACUUGUGAGUCCAACUCUGAGGAGAGGCUGAGGCUCAAAGUAAGUAUUGGAGUGUUUUCACAUAUUGCAGGAAGGCUUCCAAGCUGUGGGAGGGUGGAAAUCCUGUAGGGAGCACACUUGGAGGGCAAGUCCAAACCUGGAACCCUGGGGUGCCCAGCAUUAAGGGUAAGGAAGCAGACAAUGAGAGGGAGCAGCCAGAGAGCGCACUUGAGCAGAUUGGGGUGUCCUGGAAGCACAGUAUGGUUCUCUGUGUCGCAUGCUGCUCAAGGUCAAGCAAGAUGCCAACUAAAGAUUCACCAUGAAUUUGGCAGUGUGGAAGUCACUCGUGGCUCUGAUAAGAGGUGCCUGAGUGACGUGGUGAGACAGGAACCUGAAACCAGCUGGGUUAAUGAAAAUGGGAGGACAGGCAGUAGAGCUGGUGUGUAGGAGACUGUCUCCUAAAGCCUGAUUGCAGGCCAGGAAGGGGCAAGAGUGGGAUUUAACCUGAGAUUAGGAUUUUGCUAGUUGAGGUCAGUGGAGGAAAGGGUGUGAGGGAACUGAGUAGGAGAGUCCAUAUGACAGUGGAGAGUCCAUAUGACAGUGGAUUGUGUAAUUGAUGCCAGGCAAGGAGCAGGAUGCAGGGAGGAGAUGAGGGACAGCAGGAGGUUGUGGGGGUCAGCAGAUUCAAGGAGUUGUUGGAUUUGGGGUGGUCAAGAGUCGUGUGCUUGAAAUUGUCAUCGUGGAGGGUGCAGUUGUGGUUACAUCUAGAUCUAAGGCAGUAUUGUUCAAAAGCAAUGUCAGGGGAGCCAUGUUUAACUUUCCAUGUUCCAAUAGCCGUAUUUUUAAAAAAGUAAGGAGAAAGAAACACGAUAAAUUUUAAUAUUUCAUUAUAUUUAACCGGUUACAUCUCAAAUAUGUGAACAUGUGAACUGUGUACAAAUUAUUGCAAUGUAUCAAUUUUUUUGUAAGUCUUUGCAAUUGGUGUGUAUUUUAUAUUUCUAGCACACCUUACUUUAGACUGGGCACAUUUCAGGUGCUCAGAGGUCACAAGUGGCUCAUGGCUGCCAUAUUGCAGAGCAUAGGUCUUGGGAAUCACUGUGGAGGAAGUACAGUCCAAGGUUAUUGGAGGGUGGGUUUAAGGAACAGAGAAGCCAAGGUUCAUGAAGGAUUAUGUGGAUCUAAGCCACUUGGGAUUCCUUACAGAGUGGGGCCGCAGGGGUUAGGAGGCUGAGUGCUUUAAUCUGCCACCCAUCAAGUGAGUCUCAGCAUCUGUGGGACUAUGAGGGACUGCUCUUGCCUCAUCUUAAGUCCAGAAAUCAUGGGUAUGGGGCAUGCUUUCAGACUCACAAUAAAAUAUCAGAAACAUGGGCUAUAAUAUUGAGAGGAUCUUUUCAAAAUAGCAGCUUCCAGUCAGGGUUCACUCUCAUUCAGAAGGCAUUUCUUUGAGCCACUAAUGAAGAUGUUACCCAUGUGAAGAACUCAUUCCAGCCCAUUUUUUUUUUCCUCAAGAAAAAAAUAUCCGUUAGAUUUUUGUCUUUUAUUUUGACAUAAAUCUUUAGAUGCUGAUCUUUAUUUUGGCAUAAUCCUCAAAUCCCUCAAAUUCUGUUUGUAAUACUUAGCUCAACAAUCUUAAACACGCUUGAAUCCCUGCAGAAGCCGACAUUUAGGAGUUUCAAGGCAGUCCACAUGAUACGCGGACAGCAGCAUGCAGCCUGGCUACCCUCUCUGCUCCUUUUGAUAGGGUACAUGUGGUAAUAUAUUUUAUAUAUACAUGCAUAUCUGUUUGUGUGUGUGUGUGUGUGUGUGUGUGUGUGUAUAAAUAUUGGCUUUGAUCCACAGUGAGUCUUUAAAGAUCAAUAAAAAUGGAUGAUGUCAGGAAGCUGUUUUUGGCCUUAUAGGCCAGGAAAAAGGAAAAUGUUUUGAAGGGGUAGACAGGAACACUUCCACAGCUCAGUUGCUAUCACUACUUUUCAUAUUUAAAGUUAACACAAGCUGCUCGUCUGAAUCCCAAUGGAAAAGGUGAAUGGAUAUUCCAGUUCUGUACCUUUAUCAAAUUCAGAUGUACCUUAGAUUCCUUUCAGUUUGUUUCCUGUAGUAUUAGGAUUAACAGCAGCAACAACAAAAAUCCUCCCAGCUCAGAUAUUUAGGAAGAAGAACCCAUUUUGAAUCUGUGUUUAUGUGCCCCCUGUUCUCAGAUGCUAUGUGUGUUGAAGGAGCAGUUGUUCAUUUUGUAGGUGCCAGUGUCAGGGAAUGAGGGAUCCAAGUGGUCCCAAGCACCUAGGCUUUGGUAAUCUCAGAGCAGUGUGAGAGUCUGCUGGGUCAGAACUGUCUUCCCUCUGGGUGUGGUGCCUCCUCUCUGCACUGUAGUGUUCCCUGAGAGCAAGCCCAGGAAACGCCACUUAGUAACGAGGAAAGCUUUCUCCUUAUGUGAGUUUUCUAAUUAAAAUGUUUUCCAUCUGAUGGGGAAGUGUGUGAAUAUCAAGAACUGGAAAUUAAGCAAGAAAUUAAAAGAACAUUAAUGGUUUCUUUGCAAUUUGUUUUGAGGUUUUCCUCACUAAGUGGUAUUUUGCUUACAAAGUCACCCUUUCACACAUAAAUCUUUAUGACAAAUGGACUGGAAUAUAUCCCAGCAAAAGAAGAGCUAUGGUGUCAUGUGUAAAUUAUAUCACACAUUGUGAAAGAGAACCCAAAGCAUUCACUUUUUAAAAAAGCAUUGUUAGUGCAGUUACUUAAUUGGUGUAUACAAAAUUAUAGUUUAUUUGAAAGUGAAGGUUGGUUUGUCUAGAGGACUGGAAGAAUAAGUGUUCUGACAUUUGUUCAUUGUUUGAAUUUACACUCCAGACACCAGAAUGCUCAAUAAAUCCAAAGUGUGAUUUACUGACUCUUUAAAAAGUUCACUGCUGAAACUUUAUCCAUCGCAACCAGUGUCCCUUCACCCCGAGGUAUGUUUGAUCUGCAGUAGGCAGGCACCUGCCCUUCCUGGUCCUUGGGCCUCAGGGAGUGCAUCGAAUGCCACACUGGCAGUUUUGUUUGUUUUGUUAUCUGGAUUUGUGUCUACUAGUAAAGUCUUCAUUAAGCUGCAGCUUCUACCUCUGGGUGGAGAAGUAGGUGGAAACAGGGAACUGUCAAACUCUGUAGCCCUUCCCGGCCUACCUCAAAGUGCCCCCACCCACAGCCUCUCACCUGCCUCUUCUCUCUCCUAGACCUCAGGGUACUGCAUGUUCUGUCUGCUGUGCUUUCAGUUUCCUUCUCUGGCCCAGCCCUUCCUCCCUACUUCCGUUUAUUCUGGUGGACAGCCUUUAGGGGCCAGCCCAGAUGCCACUUCUUCAUGCACCCUUUCUUGGGCUCCAUUCUGCAUAGUCCAUCCUUUGGUUCAUUCUUCUCCUUCCCAUAUCCCCUGUGAGGACUGUCGCCAUGAAAAUGUCAUGAUCUCUUUAUUGGUGUCUUUAAUCUACUAAAUCAGGAGCUCUUUGGGAGCAGGUGCUGGGCCUCCCUUAGAUUUCUGUUUCCCUAGAACCCAGCCCAGCACCUGCACAUGGUUGUGAGUGAAUGAAUUCGGGUGGAUGGGUGGGGGAGUGAUGGUGGGGUAAUGUACCUUCAAGUCAAAAAGGUAAACUUGAUUCCUGUUUUGGAGAAAGAGAAGAAUAAAUACUGUUUUUGUUUAUACAGGUCUUAAAAUUUUGGUAGCAGAGAGCAAAUGUGCAGAGAGCAAUGGAAAACAAGUCAGAAGCUGCUGUCUGAUUCCAGAGAAGGUCACAUUUUAUGCAAAAAGAAAAAAAGUAAUUUACAUUUGAUCACCUUGAGAUCUUCAAUUUGUCAUUGUGAUAUCUUAAGUAACUAAUGAUUAAGUGAAAUAAAUCUUGGGAAAAUAGAUCACAAAUGGAAUGAGGACUUUGCAUUGUAAGAAACCCACAACUCUUUUCUUUUCACAACAUGACCUUUUUAAAAAGUACCUUAUUGCAGGCUUGUGAAGGUGGCUGGCCUCUGAGCACUGGGCACAUGCCUGAAAGUGAUAGGCCUUUUUUAUUUACCUUGAUCCGCUGGAAUUAAACAGUCAUGCUUAUAUUCAGUUAGUUUGAGGUUUGGUUGGAAUUCAGUUCCAAAUUGGCGAAAGAAAUGAGCAUCCAGCCCCUCUUCCUCAUAUUGUCCAACUUGCCUUAUGAGACUCAUAUGCACAGUAUUCCCUGUUUAAACUGAAGUCACUCACUUGACUCUGUCCCUGCAGUAGUCCCUAAGGAAGGUAAACGAACAGAUAUCUUGAGACUUCCUUCUGCAUCAGUAGUUUUGAUAGUUUCAAGGCCACUGUGGAAUUCACCUGUAGUCUGUUAGGACCUUACCUUACUUAGGAACAUUAGUCCUUUUACUCACACACCCUCCAGUAUCCCUUUGGAAUGCUGUGUUUUUCUAACCCAUGAAACUGGUCUAGAAAGUACAGUAGCAAGUGCUGAGAAUUGAAGUCCACCUUCCUAGUGCUGUGCUUCACAAAUAGUCUCUAGCUGGGGGCCUCUCAGAGCAUGGUGUUCUGUUAUAUCAAUAUGUACUUAGACAUGCUAAUCUGAAUUAGAGAGCCGAUAUACAUAAUGACUCCCCUGGGAUGCUAUAUUAGAAAAAAAACAAAACAAAAACUGAAGUAGUUUGCUGAAUAUGCAUAGGAAGCUAAAAAAUAAAAUCCUUCUAAAAUGAGCGUUAAUUGAAUCUGGACCUUGAUCAUCUUUGAACCUCUAAUUUUUAAUUUGAUCCUUUAAAAAAGUUUUAUAGGUUCUUGAAGACAAAAUCUACAACUCAAUAAAAGUUAUGCUGUAGUGAUUGCCUAAAGACUGUACAAAGCCCAAUUUUGAGGUAUUGUUGCUCCAUGUAUACACAGCAUGUGUGGGGUAGAUGUAUAUAUAUGUACAUGUUCAUGCAUACACAUACCAACUAUAUGUGCUUAAUCUAUGCUGUAGUUUGCCUUUAUUCAGAUUCCCUCUAGAAAUGGGGCAAAUUUUCUUCAGUUAAAAACAGAAAUAGAAGCGCCGGCCUUGACCCAUUUUAUACCUGUUUAUUUCAGGCUCUCACCACACACUUGUUCAUGGGCACAGCAAGAAGAGGGAUCCACAGAGCUGGAGCCGUGAGGUCUGACACAUUGGGGUGAAGCUGGCAAAAUUCGUAGGGAGAGCUUUACCAUCCUGCCAGCUCCAUAUCUGGCCUCAAGACAGUUCUAUUAGUGAAUUAAUUGUACUCAAAACCUCGAAUUCAUUUGAACCGAAUGUUACUAAAAAUGAAAUAGAUCAAAGUGACCUCCUCUUGCCUCAUCCAGAGUGAUUGUGAAGGAGCCCAUGGCCUCAUUUAUCUCUGGAGAGCAGGUCUCCACCUGUGUGCCUCCUGGUCCUGGGGUUUUUCGUGCCCGUCCCUGAUGCUACUCUGCCCGCAGUCCCUCAGCAGGCUUCCAUUUCUUACUGGCACUUCACUCCCCUGGAAUCUCUUUAUGUUGAUUACUGUUUGUCUCCCACAAGAAUGGAAGCUCCAUGAGAGCAGGGUCUCUGUCUUGUUCCAUGUCCCAGUGCAUAGGACAGUGCCUGGCACAG
rnacentral:lncRNA from 1 species